rnacentral:miRNA from 1 species
CUGUGUCUUAGAGCGGACUGAGUGACAGAUACUGUAAACAUCCCACACUCUCCGCUGUGCAAAGCCAGAAAGCCGAGAGAAGGCUGUUUACUCUUUCUGCCUUGGAAAUCAGCUAAAGAG